CUUCCGGGAGGCAGCAGUAGGGAAUCUUCCCCAAUGGGGGAAAUCCUGACGGAGCAACGCCGCGUGAGUGAUGAAGGGUUUCGACUGGUAAAAUUCUGUUAUUAGGGAAGACCAAAUGUGUAAGUAACUAUGCACAUCUUGACGGUACCUAAUCAGAAAGCCACGGCUAACUACGUGCCAGCAGCCGCGGUAAU
rnacentral:rRNA from 1 species